UACGUAGGGGGCAAGCGUUGUCCGGAAUCAUUGGGCGUAAAGAGCGUGUAGGCGGCCUGAUAAGUCGGCUGUGAAAGUCAAGGGCUCAACCCUUGAAUGCCGGCCGAUACUGUCAGGCUAGAGUCCGGAAGAGGCGAGUGGAAUUCCUGGUGUAGCGGUGAAAUGCGCAGAUAUCAGGAGGAACACCGAUGGCGAAGGCAGCUCGCUGGGACGGUACUGACGCUGAGACGCGAAAGCGUGGGGAG
rnacentral:rRNA from 1 species